CACUGGCCUGAUGACUUCAGAACAAAACAGAUCCCCAUCCUGGGACAGCUGCUAGGUCGUCUUCUCUGCUUCCAGUUUUCUGAGGGAAAGACAAAACAUUCAGCUUCAAGAGCUUUUUAUUACCUCUGUCAAUUCAUCUUUGAUAAAAACAGGAGGAUAUCAUACCCUGAAGAGUACUAUAGAAAAUACCUGCGUCUACCUGUCACCUUCUUGCAGUGGUGCAACAACAUCAGAGCCCAGAUCAAGGCCUUGGAAUGUUAUCUCACACCUUCUGAGAGGACAUACAUCAUGCUUGCAGCCAUCGAGGCGAUGCAGGACUCCAGCACCUCUGGCCAUCAUGCAGCAAGACACUUCUUGCAGCUGGCCAUGAGAUCUCCUGAUUUCUGGCUGGCAGAUGUAAGUGGCCUGUGGCUGGAUUACCCUGCCGAGCCUUGUCCCUCCUGCCUCCCUCCAUCCCAAACUCAGGUGUCUUGUGCCCCUGAAUUCACCUGAAGGCAGAAGAGAGGGCUAGGAAGAGCAGCUGAAGACAUGGCUGCAGCACCACUCGUACCUAUGUCCUCUCCAGGUGCCAAGCAUUGUGAGGGGCAUCCAGGAGUGCCUGGAGCACACCAGCCUGGCAACUGAUGUGGAGAGCCUGGACACCUUGCUUGCAGUGCUGGCUCACAAAUCCCCCAGGGAACUGGUGAGCAGCAUGUUGACUUCCACAGCACCAUAUGACAGCACCGCCCUGGCCGUGUGGGACCAGAUGUAUUCUCAGCUCAACAUCACAUCCAAGUUCUGGGUGGAGCUGCAGGGAAGGGUUCACUCACCGGAAGAGCAGGACGGCGAGCUCUUCAGCCCCACUGUGUUGUAUGCCAUCAGAGUUUAUAAGGUGACACUGAACCCCACCAACACUGAAAUCGCUGACCUCCUCAGGGACAGUCAGAAGUGUCCAAAGCCGGAAUUUCUCACACUUGCACUCACAGGUCUCAGCAAUGCCUUGGAGAGUCCUGAGAUGGCAAGAAGACUUCGGUUCCUGCUGCCGGACAUUGUGGAGCUCCUGCAGCACACCAACAAAGUCAUCAGGCUAAAGGCCCUGCGGGUGCUGCACAUCAUGGUGCAGCACAUAGGGAGGAAUGGUGCCAGCAGAAUGGCCGUGCGGCUCUUGCAGCAGCUCCUGCCACUCUUUGAUGAUGAGUGCACUGAGGUGCGAGAGUACUCCAUCUUCCUCUUCAAACAACUGGUGGAAGCUGCAGUGUGCUGGGACGUGUGGAGGAUGAAACGAAAAGCACGGAAGGGAGUGAUGCCACUGCUCCUCCACAUGACUGAGAUGUCCGAGAGCGUGGCCCAGGUCUCCAGGGAAGCCCUCCUUUCCGUGGCUGAGAUCCUGGGGUGGGAAGAGCUCAAGCAGCCAAUCGAAACAAAGCACCCGUUGGAUAUCGCAGAGCGCUUGCUGGAGAGAAACAUUAACAGGGUAGAAGAGUACCUGGAACAGAGCUGGCCAUACCUGCAGUGCCCUCAGACCACCGUGAGAGAGACAGCCCGCCGGUUCACUCUGAUGGCCAGGUGGUACCUGAGGGACCUGAACGACGACGAUAACCUCAGCAGUGAGUGGGGAGAAUGGGCUGGGGCGAGGGGGGGAUGCAGGGGGAUCUCUGCAGACAGGGGGCUUCAUCUCAGUGCCCUCUUUCAGUCAUGACUGCUAAGUCCUCGGACGCAACUCGUGAGUCCCAGUCCCUGGCAGCUCGGGUCAACCGGAUGCUGAGAGCUCUCCGGCUGCAGCGAAGACUCAGAGCAACCUGCCGAGUGCUGUGCUGCGGGUGCUCAUGCUGGUGCUGAGUCAGACACAGGGGUCACUUUCCUUGAGGACACAGGGAAUAGAAUUUAACAAAACUUGCAACGAAUUUAAUAAAAUCGGUGUAAGUCUGUGUUGAAUAAAGCUG
ensembl:lncRNA